ensembl:misc_RNA Metazoa_SRP Metazoan signal recognition particle RNA
GCUGGGCGUGGUGGCGGGCGCCUGUAAUCCCAGCUACUUGGGAAGCUGGGUCAGGAGAAUCGCUUGCGCCUAGGAGGUGGAGGUUGCAGAGAGCUGAGAUCACGCCACUGCACUCCAGCCUGGGCAACAGAGUGGGACUCUGGCCCUC